rnacentral:lncRNA from 1 species
UUGAUGUACAUUGUUAGUACAUAUAUUUUUGAUUUGGUCUUAAACAAUAUUUAUUGUUGAACAUGUUAAACUGUCCUUGUCUUUGUUGUGAUUGAAUAUAUAGAUGCAUUUGUUCAUAGAUAUUCACAUCUUCAUAAAGUAAUAUUUUACAAAGUAAGGCAGGUUUUAAUCUAUAGUCAGUUAUUCAUUAAAUUAUGAUUUAACGUGCUGUCAUGGCUUUUGUGAUAGUUGAUAGUAAUGUUUGUCAUUUUAGAUAUUAAAUUGUAAGUUUUAUUUCAAACUUUUUAUAGGGAGUCCUGUCAGUAUAUAUUAUUAUGAUUUUUGGCAGUAUUGUCUGUAAAUAUUAUAAUGAUUUGCACAGUUAUGUCUGUAAUUAUAAUCAUGAUUUUUUAUUGUGAAAGAUUGUUGUGUGUUUGGGUCAAAUAAUCUUAAAAUGAAAGAAUUGUAAUUUCUAAUUUAAAUUAGACAUUUGCUUAUUUAGGUCUGAUUAACUUCUAUGCAUUACUACAUGAUGGUGUAAACAGGUCUUUAAUUUAAAGAAUUGCUUACUACAAUACUAAAGUAAACAAUUUGUGCCACAUGUACAAAUUUACAAAUUCAUGUACAAUGUAUUUUGUGUAAAUAUCAUGAUUUGUUUACUGAGCAUGUAAACCCACUAAUUUAAUAAUAAAAAUAAAUCAAAUUGUCUCUUUGACUACAACAAAUAAAUGUAAUUUAAUUUAAUUUAUACCCUGAUAUAAUUUUUAUACUACUAUAACUCAAUUAAUUACAUGUAUGAUGAAAUUGACAGCUGUCAGUCCUUCUAGUAAAUUAAAUAUAGUUUAUUUAUUCAAUAUUCAUAUAUUUGACAACUUAAUAUACCUUUUGGGAUUUAUCCAGACUUUAAUAAAGAUUCAAAAUUACUAUAUGUCAGAAAACUUUUUCUAGGAAUUAAAUAUUUUAUUUAAAAAAAACAUACUGUUUUUCUAGCUCCUCAUAAUCAUAACUUAUGGUAUAGGGGAGACAACUUUGGUUACAUCAAAACAUAUAUAAAGCUGUUUAAAUGUUCGAGACUGAUAAAGUUACCCUUAUGUCAUAAGCAAGCAAUCAAACUUUAUUUGUUUUAUCAUUAUUUAAAUUUUAAGAAUUUCAGUUUUUUACACAUUCAAUCAUGAAUAAAUAAUUAUGAGAAUGAACACAUAAAAUAUAUUAUUUUUAGUUGUUUUAUUUUAUUAAGUUUAUAGAUUAACCAUGUUACCUUUUCUUUGAAUAUUUGUACCUGGCCAAAAGUCAUCAAAAUAUCUUGUUCUUAUUUUAAUGAGGGCAUAUUUUUUUAAAUAUCUCUUACAUAAUCGUGAUGAUGAGGUACAUUUGUACAUUGUACGUUAAACUUCAUACUGUACAUGUAUCUUUACCAAUGUUUACUUUUGAAGAAUUAAUUUUCUCAGUUUUGUUCCAAUUUUAUGAAAUGUAUUUACAAAAUUAAUAUAAACUUGUACUGUGGUAGGAACAUUAACUAUCAAAGAAAUGCUUCAAAAGACUACUGUCAGACAGGUAUGACAUGAAAUGCAAGUCUGUCAGUAUGCUCGUCAAGCAUUUUUAAAAAUCAUGAUAAUGGAAAAGAAGUUUUAUUUAUUUAUUUUUUUUUCCCAUUUUAAUCUCUCCACAUGUCUUUUUAUGUCCAUGAUGUCAAUUUACCAUGUUUAAUCUAUGGAUAUCAUACAGUGUUUACAUAAUAGAUAGAAUAUUAAGGGAAAAGAUGUAAUUGAAAUGAUCACUAGGUAAUUUAGGUAUACAUUUUCUAAGAUUGUUACCAAGGAUCGAUGUACAACAAAAUUUGUAUUUUACACAUGUCUUAAGUGCUCGUGUUCAGAUUAAAACUUUGAUAUUAUUAUUACUGUACAUUUUGUACAUGUAGUUCUGAAAUUAUUGCACAUAUUUAUUGAUGCUUUCAUAAUUUGCGUUAAAUAAUGUUUCAAUAGGGCUGUUGAACAGAGCUUUCAAUGUUAAUUACAUGUAAUAUAAUGGUCACCCUGUCCAUUAACCCGGUGGAUAAAAACAUGACAAAAUUUCUGAAUUUACAGUAGCACUAUUUUUUCAGACAACAUACAGUGGCAGACCCAGAACUUUUUAUAAGGGGGGUGGGGGUGGAGCUGACGCACUGACCUUAGGGCUCCAGUCAUGCUUCAGUGAUCUCCAAUUUUUUAUUAAAUGGAGGGGCUAGAUCCGCCUAUGUAUUAUAUGACCAUGAUGACAGAACCUUUUUUCACAUUUUUUUUUAAACGAAAGUCAUGUUUUAGAAUGGCUGAUACUGCAUGCCUGUCUGAAUAUUUGUUAAAGACUGAAAUUGGCUUCCUGUGAAAUUAUAUAUCAAUGUUCAUAUCAGAUCUUUAUUGUUAUUAUCUUCCAGUGUAGAAAAUAACUAAAAUUCUGAGCAUUUAUAUUAAUGUUUGGUUAAAAGUAUUCAAAGAAUAUUGUACAUGUUGUCAUUAUUGUUGCAUACAUUAACAAAGUGUUCAAAAGUCUAUUUUCACUACUUAUAAAAUGCCUUUAGAAAUUGUGGUGUCAAAUAUAUUGUAGAUUAGUUGAUGUUAAAGUAAUGCAUUGGUCAUGUUUAUAGUCAUGAUAGUUAAUAUCAACUAGCAUGACUAGUAAUGAUAUACAUGAUAUACAGGUGAUAAGUUUAUUUUCUUUGCCAUCUCUGGUACACCUCUGAAGCUACCCAGAACAUAAGGGAAUCUCAUGUAAAUUUUUCCUCCAUGAGUUUUUUUACACACUGGUACUUUUUCGAAUAGAAACCGUAAUUAAUGCAAUUUCAGCUGCUUUGAAAAGUCAACAAAAGGGACAGUGCUAAAAAAAUAGGAAACAUGUUUGAAAUUAUUAUUCAGGUUUAUGAACAAUUAUAUAUAUAUAUUUCAUCAAGAAAUUUUACGCCAGUUAUUCACAAGUUUAUACUUUUUUUUUUGAUUACUUAAUCAAAGCGUUUUAACUGAUGUAUUGUAAACAGAGGCGUCUAAAAGUGCUAUUAUGGAGAAAAUGGUUAAUACUGGUUUCUGCCAUGAAGCUCCCAAGAUCAUGUUGAUAUUUUAAUAGAUCAUUUAGAUAUUAAAUACCAUGUAAAUAUUUCAAUUUACCAUUCCAAUUCAUUGUUAUUUUACUUCUUUUUUAUAAAUGUUUUUUGAAUUUGCUUAUCUUGAAUUAUGUUUUAUGACUAUAUUGCUCAUUUAUAAAAACUGUCUACUUUUUAUGUGGUAAAAUCUUUUUCAAUUACUUAUCAUAAACGUUGUCCUAAGAAGACCAUUUAUCAUGUUUAUAUCAAAUAUUGAUCAUAUUAUCUAUAUGAUUUUUUUUAGAUUUAUGUACAUUGUAUACCCUUUAAUUUAUAUGAUCUUAAAAGAUCAUAAAAUUUCAUCAAAAAUGUUUUUAAUGUUAUGCUUUGUAAAAAUAAAUGUAAUGUGUAGGGCUGAACAAAUACAUUAGUAAUUACUACUUCAUAUGAACAUGAUGAAAAAUAUAUUUAAGAUAUAUUUCACAAUGAAUAUCAAUGAGUGACGAACAUUUCCAAAAACAAACUCUAAAUUUCUUUUCAUUCCAAAAUUUUAGCUUGACAAGAUUUUAGAAUAAGAUAAUAUAGAUAAUUUGGAAAAUAAAUUUCCCUUGAGAUAAAGACUUUUUAAUAAGAUUUAAAGUGUGACCUUAACUUUUUCGAGAAAAUGGUUUGGGAUGAUUAAAAUAUUCAUAUGAUAACAGACUUAAUUCAGUCAUAAGUUAUCUAUUUGACUUUUUGGGUGUAUUUAUAUAAAGCAACUUCAAACUGGAAGAAUACAAUGAUAUAAGUGAUAAUAGGAUAAUUCCAUUCACUUAAGCAAAAUCCAUUAACUCAUUUUUGUAACAUACAAUUUCAUCAUAUUAACAUCUCAAGAUAUAUAUAUUUUUUUGGCUGUAAAACUGCCAAAGCUAUUUAUUUGUCAGGUCUUGUCUAUGAUUUCAUACAAAUGUUCAUUCUAAUACAAUGUAUUGUAAAAAUCCCACCAUUCAAGCAUAUGUGAUUCUUUUCUUAAAGCAUUGUUUUGUAAUAAUAAUGUAUACAUACAUAAACAUUGAGCAAAGUUUCAAAAUGGCAAUAAUACAAAUAAUGUUUAUGAAACAAGAAAUUUAAUGUUAACACAAAUGUAGGAUUUGUUCGUGUUUAAGAACCCAAUGUUCAAAGAAAGUAAAGGCAGUAAAAUAGAGAAUAGAAAUGAGGAAUUGUGUUGUAAUUUUGCACUUUGACCUCAGAGUUUUUGUACAUUUGCAUAUGUUUUAAUACAACAUUUCAAAUUAGUUUUAAUUUGAAUACAACAUUUCAAAAUUGUUUUUAAGAUCCACUUUUGGUGUAAAAUAUUCAAUUGUUCAAAAUAUUUUCUACAUUAGAGGAAAUUUUAUAAAUUUUUUUUUUUUUAUUUUUGACAGUUUUAGAAAGACAAUGUUUUAAAUAAUGUUCAAAUUGUUUGUUUCCAACUAGUAAUAAGUUGUUUAUUGCUAUAUAUUAAUCUUUACAAUGUAAACUAUAUGUGAUCAUGUGACUUUGUAUUUAUUUUGAAUUGUUAUAAGAGAGACUUAUAAAACUAUUUCGCAGUAAGGUAUACUUUUUACACAGCAGUUUUGUUAUUGUUUGUAAGUUUGAUAUGUUAAUAGUCUAUUUCUGUACUUAAGGUGCUGUGCAUUUUUUGUUUCUCAUUUUGCAUUCCAAAUGCAGAAAAUCAUGCAUUUGAAUAAAAAAAAAAA